rnacentral:rRNA from 1 species
GGGUUGUGAGGUUAAGCGACUAAGCGUACACGGUGGAUGCCCUGGCAGUCAGAGGCGAUGAAGGACGUGCUAAUCUGCGAAAAGCGCCGGCGAGGUGAUAUGAACCUUUGACCCGGCGAUGUCCGAAUGGGGAAACCCAGUGCAAUUCGUUGCACUAUCGUUUGAUGAAUACAUAGUCAAACGAGGCGAACCGGGGGAACUGAAACAUCUAAGUACCCCGAGGAAAAGAAAUCAACCGAGAUUCCCCCAGUAGCGGCGAGCGAACGGGGAGCAGCCCAGAGCCUGAAUCAGCUUGUGUGUUAGUGGAAGCGUCUGGAAAGUCGCGCGAUACAGGGUGACAGCCCCGUACACGAAAGCACACAGGCUGUGAGCUCGAUGAGUAGGGCGGGACACGUGGUAUCCUGUCUGAAUAUGGGGGGACCAUCCUCCAAGGCUAAAUACUCCUGACUGACCGAUAGUGAACCAGUACCGUGAGGGAAAGGCGAAAAGAACCCCGGCGAGGGGAGUGAAAAAGAACCUGAAACCGUGUACGUACAAGCAGUGGGAGCCUCUUAAUGGGGUGACUGCGUACCUUUUGUAUAAUGGGUCAGCGACUUAUAUUCUGUAGCAAGGUUAACCGAAUAGGGGAGCCGAAGGGAAACCGAGUCUUAACUGGGCGUUAAGUUGCAGGGUAUAGACCCGAAACCCGGUGAUCUAGCCAUGGGCAGGUUGAAGGUUGGGUAACACUAACUGGAGGACCGAACCGACUAAUGUUGAAAAAUUAGCGGAUGACUUGUGGCUGGGGGUGAAAGGCCAAUCAAACCGGGAGAUAGCUGGUUCUCCCCGAAAGCUAUUUAGGUAGCGCCUCGUGAAUUCAUCUCCGGGGGUAGAGCACUGUUUCGGCUAGGGGGCCAUCCCGGCUUACCAACCCGAUGCAAACUACGAAUACCGGAGAAUGUUAUCACGGGAGACACACGGCGGGUGCUAACGUCCGUCGUGAAGAGGGAAACAACCCAGACCGCCAGCUAAGGUCCCAAAGUCAUGGUUAAGUGGGAAACGAUGUGGGAAGGCACAGACAGCCAGGAUGUUGGCUUAGAAGCAGCCAUCAUUUAAAGAAAGCGUAAUAGCUCACUGGUCGAGUCGGCCUGCGCGGAAGAUGUAACGGGGCUAAACCAUGCACCGAAGCUGCGGCAGCGACACUAAGUGUUGUUGGGUAGGGGAGCGUUCUGUAAGCCUGCGAAGGUGUGCUGUGAGGCAUGCUGGAGGUAUCAGAAGUGCGAAUGCUGACAUAAGUAACGAUAAAGCGGGUGAAAAGCCCGCUCGCCGGAAGACCAAGGGUUCCUGUCCAACGUUAAUCGGGGCAGGGUGAGUCGACCCCUAAGGCGAGGCCGAAAGGCGUAGUCGAUGGGAAACAGGUUAAUAUUCCUGUACUUGGUGUUACUGCGAAGGGGGGACGGAGAAGGCUAUGUUAGCCGGGCGACGGUUGUCCCGGUUUAAGCAUGUAGGCUGGUUAUCCAGGCAAAUCCGGAUAAUCAAGGCUGAGGUGUGAUGACGAGUCACUACGGUGAUGAAGUAACAAAUGCCCUGCUUCCAGGAAAAGCCUCUAAGCAUCAGGUAACACGAAAUCGUACCCCAAACCGACACAGGUGGUCAGGUAGAGAAUACCAAGGCGCUUGAGAGAACUCGGGUGAAGGAACUAGGCAAAAUGGUGCCGUAACUUCGGGAGAAGGCACGCUGAUAUGUAGGUGAAGCCCCUGCGGGUGGAGCUGAAAUCAGUCGAAGAUACCAGCUGGCUGCAACUGUUUAUUAAAAACACAGCACUGUGCAAACACGAAAGUGGACGUAUACGGUGUGACGCCUGCCCGGUGCCGGAAGGUUAAUUGAUGGGGUUAUCCGUAAGGAGAAGCUCUUGAUCGAAGCCCCGGUAAACGGCGGCCGUAACUAUAACGGUCCUAAGGUAGCGAAAUUCCUUGUCGGGUAAGUUCCGACCUGCACGAAUGGCGUAAUGAUGGCCAGGCUGUCUCCACCCGAGACUCAGUGAAAUUGAACUCGCUGUGAAGAUGCAGUGUACCCGCGGCAAGACGGAAAGACCCCGUGAACCUUUACUAUAGCUUGACACUGAACAUUGAGCCUUGAUGUGUAGGAUAGGUGGGAGGCUUUGAAGCGUGGACGGCAAGACCCCGUGAACCUUUACUAUAGCUUGACACUGAACAUUGAGCCUUGAUGUGUAGGAUAGGUGGGAGGCUUUGAAGCGUGGACGCCAGUCUGCGUGGAGCCAACCUUGAAAUACCACCCUUUAAUGUUUGAUGUUCUAACGUGGACCCGUAAUCCGGGUUGCGGACAGUGUCUGGUGGGUAGUUUGACUGGGGCGGUCUCCUCCCAAAGAGUAACGGAGGAGCACGAAGGUUGGCUAAUCCUGGUCGGACAUCAGGAGGUUAGUGCAAUGGCAUAAGCCAGCUUGACUGCGAGCGUGACGGCGCGAGCAGGUGCGAAAGCAGGUCAUAGUGAUCCGGUGGUUCUGAAUGGAAGGGCCAUCGCUCAACGGAUAAAAGGUACUCCGGGGAUAACAGGCUGAUACCGCCCAAGAGUUCAUAUCGACGGCGGUGUUUGGCACCUCGAUGUCGGCUCAUCACAUCCUGGGGCUGAAGUAGGUCCCAAGGGUAUGGCUGUUCGCCAUUUAAAGUGGUACGCGAGCUGGGUUUAGAACGUCGUGAGACAGUUCGGUCCCUAUCUGCCGUGGGCGCUGGAGAAUUGAGGGGGGCUGCUCCUAGUACGAGAGGACCGGAGUGGACGCAUCACUGGUGUUCGGGUUGUCAUGCCAAUGGCACUGCCCGGUAGCUACAUGCGGAAGAGAUAAGUGCUGAAAGCAUCUAAGCACGAAACUUGCCCCGAGAUGAGUUCUCCCUUGGACUUUAAGUCCACUAAAGGAACGUUGAAGACGACGACGUUGAUAGGCCGGGUGUGUAAGCGCAGCGAUGCGUUGAGCUAACCGGUACUAAUGAACCGUGAGGCUUAACCUUACAACGCCGAAG